rnacentral:rRNA from 1 species
UGAGAAGUCUGGCUUUCUUAAACAAUAUUUUGAGAUGAAGUCCAGACGUUUGGAUACGUGCGCCUAGUGGGCCAUUUUUGGUAAGCAGAACUGGCGCUGCGGGAUGAACCGAACGUUGAGUUACGGCGCCCGACGAGACGCUCAUGAGAUCCCAUAAAAGGUGUUGGUUGCUAUAGACAGCAGGACGGUGGCCAUGGAAGUCGGAAUCCGCUAAGGAGUGUGUAACAACUCACCUGCCGAAGCAACUAGCCCUGAAAAUGGAUGGCGCUGUAGCGUCUGGCCUAUACUCAACCGUUAUUGUAAUGGUGUUUCAAAGCAUCCAUCAUCCAGUCAUACAAUAACGAGUAGGAGGGCCGCGGCGGUAGCGUUGAAGGCGUACGGGCGUGAGCCUGGCUGGAGCUGCCGUCGGUGCAGAUCUUGGUGGUAGUAGCAAAUACUCAAGCGAGAACCUUGAGGACUGAAGUGGAGAAGGGUUCCAUGUGAACAGCAGUUGAACAUGGGUCAGUCGACCCUAAGGUAUCGGCGAAAGCCGUUCAGAAGCGGUGUGGAUAUGUAUGCAGAAAUGUGUACAGGUUAUUGGGUUAACUGCUGGCUGNGAAACAGGUUGGCUGGUAACGGUCGAUGCUGUCGUGGUUGGUAGCCAAUAAUCACCGCACCUGCCGAAAGGGAAUCGGGUUAAUAUUCCCGAACCUGGCAUCGGAGACUGAAUGGCCUUCGGGUCAUUUUAAUGCGGUAACGCAAAUGAACUCAGAGACGCUGACACGUACCCUGGGAAGAGUUGUCUUUUCUUGAUAAGGAGCAAACUGCCUGGAAUCGGAUCAUCCGGCGAUAGGGAGAAAGCAUCCGUAAAGCACCGCGGUUCUUGCGGUGUCCGGUGCGUACGUGUCGGUCCUUGAAAAUCUGAGGGAGAGUGUGAUUUUCGUGCCAGAUCGUACCCAUAUCCGCAGCAGGUCUCCAAGGUGAACAGCCUCUCCUCCAUUAAAGC